rnacentral:misc_RNA from 1 species
UUUACUUUUAAUUCCAGCCGCAGGUUACGCCAGACACCCUGGCCAGACACCAUCCGAACGGUAACGCUGUCCAAGGUGUAGGGAGAAAGAGGCGGCAGCUACGAUUGGGCGAGCCGGACUGCGGCGAGGAUCCGCCGGAUUGGCCGAUAAAGAGCCCUUGCCAUCCGCCAAAGGGCCCCUGUAAGCCCAUGGGUCCACCAGGCUAUCCCGCGAAACCGAAGCCGGAAAAGAAGCCGUUUUGCGUUAAGUGUCCACCCAAGAAACCGUGCAAAACGAAAAAAUGUUAGGCGUUGGGCGUCACGCGCACCGAGAGACAGAGGGUACGUGGAGAUAGCGGCGGACUAAACGAUCCUCUAUCGAUCAAAAUCUCUGUUGUCUGCAUCGUAGGCCAAAUACGAUUUAAACACACCGUUGCUGAGGCCUCUUCUCAAGCUUUCCACCGCGAUGCUUGGUAACUUCCGAACCAGAAGUCGAUACUCUUUGGGAUCGUACGUUCUUAAUGGGCGCAGUUGGCCGUCGUCGAGAAUACCUAACGCGAGCCUGACGU